AGUAUUAGGAAUGAUAGCUGGAGCGUUGGGAUUAGCUGCUUUAGUCGGAAUAUUUCUUUUUUUGAUUUAGUUUCCAUUUUCCUGUCUGUCGUGAAAGAAAUAAUCUGUGCCAUAUCAAAAAUUUGCUAUCAUCAGUCUUUGGUAACUAAACAGUUGUGCCUAAUAUUUAAUGCCGGACAAAGCAUGGAUGUAAAUUUUUUGUCCCUUCACAGGAGGCAAUGGUGGUCCACCAAUCAAGUGCCUCCGUAAUAAGUAGACCACCACUUCCGGCCUUAGUAGUGGACAGCACGUAUAACGGGUGGUGCCCAUCAUUGAAAAUCAAAGACUUUAGUAUGAGAAAAGGGAAGAAAAUGACUUCUUGCAACAGGGAACAUCCUAGAAAGUCAUACCUAUGAUGAUAGCGGAAGCAGUUUCCUGCCGAAAAAGCAAUAAAUUCAAUAUGUUUUGCAUUCUUGAUCUUCAGCCUAAAAAACUUACUUUCCAGUAACACUAUCUUACUUUCCGUAGCCAUGAUACUGUCUGGAUACAAUGUGAUCGAAUGUGUAACCAUAUUUCUGAUUAAUUAAUGAAGUGCCUUGAAUAAAUCUGUAAAUUUUAAUCAUCUCUUUACCAUUUUUAUGCUAAUCGUAAUGCUUACGGGUUCGUAAUAGAUUGAAUGCACACAGAACCCAUGAUAACUUUAUAAAAUAUAUUUUUACCCAAAGAAACACUUUAGAGUUCUGGCACUUUCACAAAAAUACUCAUACAGCUCUUUUCUAUAUCACAGACUAAAACCAGUACUUACACUUCAAACUGCUGAGAACGUUAAACACAACGGAAUGCAAAGCACAUCUAAAAAGGCAAAUCUACUGCGGAGAUCUCUCAAUACUCGGAACUCAGCGCUGAACUAAAGAACUAAGGAAAAACUAAGAGCUGAUGCUCUUUCCUGUCUAUAUAGGUUUCCCCCGGCCGCCGAGAAAUCUCUAGUACCUUCCACUUCUGGAAAUUACUGGAAGACAUAUAAGGGCCGAAAAGGUCGCCAAAUUUGACGACUUUGACUAUUUCUCGCCAAAUCUGCUGAGGAAAAUUAGUCACCAAAACCAUCGCAAAUUUGCCAAUACUCGCCAAUAUAGCGAGAUAGCCAUUUAUUCAAUGUUAAAAGGAUUUGCCCCUGUUUUCUUCAUUUUCCGGCAGAGCUUCGUCUCUUCUGAGCAUUUCAUGUUUCAUAUUACGUCUGUUUCAAACAUUUCAUACAAAAAAUACGACAGUGUCACAUAUAAUUUCACUAAAAUCAUCUACAUAUGUAAAACAUUUUUGAGUUUCUUUAUGACAUGCCUUUGAUUUUUAUAACCGAGUAUAUUCGUACCAUAAAUUUUAUAUACCUUUACAUACGUAUUAAUGCCAUAUAUAAAAUUAUCGAGUAAAAAUACCAUCUUUUCUCCAUAUUUUUGCAUCAGAAUUGACGUAUGCGUGUUAUAUUUUGAUAAGGGUCACUUUUUAAUAAAUUCUUAAUAAAUUUUUAAUAAAUUCAGAUUCUCACAUGCUGGAGAUAAAAAUGUUUUUUCUGUACAACGUUGCCAUUGUUUGCUUUAAAAUCCUUUUCAUUUUCUCAUGGAGACAUUUGUCCUCCAUUAUGCGUAGAUUAAUAUUAGAAGCUUGCAAAUGUAAAGGAGAUAAUUUGUAACCUCUAUCAGUUAAUAUUAUUGUUCAUUGUUUCUACUGUAAUGAACUUUCAUGUAAGUUUGAAUUAAAUAAGGAUUUUUUAAAA